rnacentral:rRNA from 1 species
UACGUAGGAGGCAAGCGUUGUCCGGAAUUACUGGGCGUAAAGCGCGUGUAGGUGGUGGGACAAGUCUGCUGUGAAAGCGCCUGGCUUAACCGGGCGAGGUCGGCGGAAACUGUCCGACUAGAGGACGGUAGAGGGGGGUGGAAUUCCCGGUGUAGUGGUGAAAUGCGUAGAGAUCGGGAGGAACACCUGUGGCGAAGGCGGCCCCCUGGGCCGGCCCUGACACUGAGACGCGAAGGCGUGGGGAGCGAACGGGAUUAGAUACCCCGGUAGUCCACGCAGUAAACGAUGCAUACUAGGUGUGGGGGGUAUCGAGCCCCUCCGUGCCGCAGCCAACGCAAUAAGUAUGCCGCCUGGGGAGUACGGCCGCAAGGUUAAA